UACAGAGGUCCCGAGCGUUGUUCGGAUUUACUGGGCGUAAAGCGUGUUCAGGCGGUCUAGCAAGUCGGGCAUGAAAUCUCUCGGCUCAACCGGGAGGGGUUGUCCGAUACUGCUGGGCUUGAGGGCAGCAGAGGGUGGUGGAAUUCCUGGUGUAGCGGUGAAAUGCGCAGAUAUCAGGAGGAACACCGACGGCGAAGGCAGCUUACUGGGCCGAUACUGACGCUGAGGAGCGAAAGCGUGGGGAGCGAACAGG
rnacentral:rRNA from 1 species